GGGUCAGCGACUUAUAUUCUGUAGCAAGGUUAACCGUAUAGGGGAGCCGGAGGGAAACCGAGUCUUAACCGGGCGUUAAGUUGCAGGGUAUAGACCCGAAACCCGGUGAUCUAGCCAUGGGCAGGUUGAAGGUUGGGUAACACUAACUGGAGGACCGAACCGACUAAUGUUGAAAAAUUAGCGGAUGACCUGUGGCUGGGGGUGAAAGGCCAAUCAAACCGGGAGAUAGCUGGUUCUCCCCGAAAGCUAUUUAGGUAGCGCCUCGUGAAUUCAUCUCCGGGGGUAGAGCACUGUUUCGGCUAGGGGGCCAUCCCGGCUUACCAACCCGAUGCAAACUGCGAAUACCGGAGAAUGUUAUCACGGGAGACACACGGCGGGUGCUAACGUCCGUCGUGAAGAGGGAAACAACCCAGACCGCCAGCUAAGGUCCCAAAGUCAUGGUUAAGUGGGAAACGAUGUGGGAAGGC
rnacentral:rRNA from 1 species